UAUCGCCAGAAUACAUUAGCAUGGAAUAAUAUUAUAGGAUCUCGGUUCUAUUUUGUUGGUUUCUAGAAUUGGGAUAAUGAUUAAUAGGGACAAUUGGGGGCAUUCGUAUCAACACGUCAGAGGUGGAAUUCUUGGAUUGUGUUGCGACGAACUACUGCGAAAGCAUUUGCCAAGGAUGUUUUCAUUGAUCAAGAACGAAAGUAAGGGGAUCGAAGACGAUUAGAUACCGUCGUAGUCUUUACCACAAACUAUGCCAACUAGGGAUGGGGCAUCGUUCACUCACGACUUGCUCCGCACCUUAUGAGAUAUCAAAGUCUUUGGGUUCCGGGGGGAGUAUGGUCGCAAGGCUGGAACUUAAAGGAAUUGACGGAAGGGCACCACCAGGAGUGGAGCCUGCGGCUUAAUUUGACUCAACACGGGAAAACUCACCAGGUCCAGACAUAAUAAGGAUUGACAGAUUGAUAGCUCUUUCUUGAUUUUAUGGGUGGUGGUGCAUGGCCGUUCUUAGUUCGUGGAGUGAUCUGUCUGCUUAAUUGCGUUAACGAACGAGACCUUAACCUGCUAAAUAGGAGCGUAUAUCUUCGGAUAAACGCCUUUCUUCUUAGAGGGACUUUACGCGUUUCAGCGUGAGGAAGUUUGAGGCUAAAACAGGUCUGUGAUGCCCUUAGAUGUUCUGGGCUGCACGCGCGCUACACUGAUGCGUUCAACGAGUGUACAACCUUGCCCGAUAGGGUUGGGUAACCUUCUGAAAACGCAUCGUGAUGGGGAUUGACUAUUGCAAUUAUUAGUCAUCAACGAGGAAUUCCUAGUAAUGAUGGAUCAUCAGUUCAUCGUGAUUACGUCCCUGCCCUUUGUACACACCGCCCGUCGCUCCUACCGAUUGAGCAUUCCGGUGAAUAUUUCGGACCGGCGUCUGUCGGGGCAACUCGCUCGGAUGCUGGAAAGUUAAGUAAACCUUAAUGCUUAGAGGAAGGAGAAGUCGUAACAAGGUUUCCGUAG
rnacentral:rRNA from 1 species